AACGAACGCUGGCGGCAUGCCUAACACAUGCAAGUCGAACGAGACCUUCGGGUCUAGUGGCGCACGGGUGCGUAACGCGUGGGAAUCUGCCCUUGGGUUCGGAAUAACAGCGAGAAAUUGCUGCUAAUACCGGAUGAUGACGUAAGUCCAAAGAUUUAUCGCCCAAGGAUGAGCCCGCGUAGGAUUAGCUAGUUGGUGAGGUAAAGGCUCACCAAGGCGACGAUCCUUAGCUGGUCUGAGAGGAUGAUCAGCCACACUGGGACUGAGACACGGCCCAGACUCCUACGGGAGGCAGCAGUGGGGGAAUAUUGGACAAUGGGCGAAAGCCUGAUCCAGCAAUGCCGCGUGAGUGAUGAAGGCCUUAGGGUUGUAAAGCUCUUUUACCCGGGAUGAUAAUG
rnacentral:rRNA from 1 species